CUCACUCCACGGCCCUAAACCUUAAAUCCACCGCCUCUAAAGGCCGGACUCUGGUGCGAAUCUUUCGAAGCCCUAAGUCGGAGAUUUGUCUUCGAAUCUGGUGUUGAGUUCGGGUUCUUCACAAAUCACUCUUUUGAUUUGGGGUUUUGACUAACUGGAGAUUCUGAUAAAGGUUGACGGAAGAUUUCAGUGGAUUGUUGUUGGACGAGAACCCGGUGGCACAAGCUAUCAAGCUACUGAUAGAAACGAAACAUGUUCUAAUAUCAAAUUUAUCAGCUAUCGGAAAUGGAACGCCUGAAGAAUUAGCAAAACAGUUCUGGUAUUCGUUUGUUUUGUUCUCGGUGAAAACAUUGAGUGAGAAGAGUUCUGAUAAUUCACAAAUUGACAGCUGCUAAGCUGAAUUGCUUCCAGCAUUGUGGAUUUCUUUAAGGAGCUUCCACAGUUUAUUGUUAAGGCCGGGCCAAUUUUAAGUAAUCUGUAUUAAUGAAGACCUCCUUAUUAGCUAGUCUCUUGUUUGCAUUUGUUUUCUUCUGCUAGUGUUUUCAUCUUUGACUCGAAUAUAUUAAUUACUUCUUCUAUUUCUAAUUAUCUGUUAACAUGGCUGUUUCUCACAAGAUAUAUGGAAUUCUUUUCAGGUACAUCAUGGAGGUUCUGGGACAGCUGCUGCUGGUUUGA